AUCGAUCCCCUUCCCUAACCUAACUGCUAGCUCCCUCCCCCGACCCCGAUUCAGCCUCCCCUAGAUCCGGCUCCGCCGGCCCUCUCCUGCCUCCCUCACCGGCUCGCCCCUCGGACCUUGGUGGCUCGGUCCCCUCCCCUCCGCGCUCCGGCCGGCCCUCUCUAGCUCAGGCUCUCCGCCUCUCCCUCCCCUGCCGCUGCCGGCCUGCCCUCGCCCGUUCGCCCUCCGGUCCGGCUUCAGCAGCGGCGCGGCUCCGGUGCUCCGGCGCUCCGCCAGGCACCAGUCAGCCUCCGGCGUCCCCUGCUCCCCGGACCCCGGCCCUUACGCUCACCUCCGCCCUCGGUCUACUGAAGAUGAGAAAGAAGGAUGUUACCUUAUUUCAAUUGUGGGACAUAUCUUCAAAGGCAAAGAAAAUUACCUCUACAUCCACACCAACUUCUCUUUCUGUUGAGGUUGAGAGCAAUCCUAGUGUUGUUUUGUUCAUAUAUUGCUAGUGGUCUGUUGUUUGGUUCAUACUAUACUAUAUUUAGAGCAAAAGUUUUUUUGGGUGAAUACCCAGCCUUCA